GAAGAAGCUUUCUAGGGUUCCGUGGCAUUAUAAUGUCAGACUGGUCCGAGAGGAAGCGCACAGCAAGCUGUGUACACGGAAGGAUAAAAGCCUGGGAGUA
rnacentral:sRNA from 1 species